CCUUGCUGUUCGCAGCUGCCAUGAACUGAGGCUCUGCCAUGCCAGCCUGCCUUGGAACCAACUGAGUAUGGACUGAAACCUCCAAAAACUCUCCCCAAUGAGACAGGAAACGCUUCAGAUGUUUGAGGUGUAGCAUCAGGUUGUUUAUUUGUGUUCCCUCUGCUUUGCACAAGUGAGAAUCCACCACAAUAUACUUCCCUCUAAGGACUGCUUUAAUUUCAUCCCACAAAUUCUGAUACUCAUCUCUCUUCAGAACUCCCAGGAUCAUUUCCUUUUCAUGAUCUAAUAAAAAUGAGAGAUUGAUAAACUCUGAGGUCUUGGACAUGAUAUUUCAGCAGCAGCUCUGAGUAGCAGUAAUUGAGUCUUCCAGAAAGUGAAUUGCUUCCUCUGCCAGCCAGACACAAUCACCUCGCGCAGCUGAAUUGGAUCACCAUUUUCGAUAUUACGUGUGCAGGUCAAGGCCCUGAUGUAGCUCCCUCCUUCUUCGUUCCUCUCCCCAUAAGCAGGACCACAGCACGAACAGUACCAUUGGUGAAAUUUUCAUGUAUAAAUCUAAAUAUAUCUCACAGGAAAUGUUGAAUGAAAAAAUUAAGUUGCAAAAAAUCACAUAGAAUGAAGAAUAUAAUACAUAAAUAUUGUAUUUAUUUAGGAAGAUAUAUUUAUAGUAGAAUUUUAGAUAAAUUCAUGAAAAAUUUAAGAUCAUGUUUACCUCUGGGGGAACAAAAUGAUAUGUAAUCAGAGAGGUAAACAUAGAGCAUUUAUCUGCAUUGAGUAAUGUUUUACCUUGAAGAAGAGAUUCUAUGAAAAUUAUUUAUAUGGUUGGUUGUAUAUUAUUCCAGACAUGCAUUAUCCAUAUUAGCCCCCUCCCUUAACUACAGUCUCACUUUUUGCAGUUUCAGUUACCUGCAGCAACCUGUUUGAAAAUAUUAAAUGGAAAAUUCCAGAAACAAAUAAGCUAGAAGCUUUAUUUUGUGUGCUGUUCUGAAUAGUGUGAUGAAAUUCUGUGCCAAAGUGUUUUGUCCUGUUGAGGAUAUGAAUCCUCCCUCUGUUCAGUGUAUGUACAUUAUGCGUACUAUUUGCCUGUUGGCCAUCUUGUUUAUCUCUAUCACAGGGUUUUUAUUCGAGUCUUCAUUAUCUUACUUAAUACUGGCCCCAGAAUGCAAUAGCAGUGAUACAAAGCAGGCACUGUACAAAGAGAUAAAGCAUGGAGGGAAAGAUUAACUCUGGUACUAUAUGGCAACACUAUGGAACAUAUAGGGAAAAGUUAUGUACAUAUUUCAGUACAAUAUAUUUUUGGUAUUAUCUUCAGCUUCAGGCUUACUGAAGGUAUUAAGACAAGUCCUCCACAGAUAGGAAGGCACUACUAUACUAUGAAAUGGAUGUUUUAAAACUACCUCCUUUUUAACAGAAGCUUUCCAGUGCCAAGUGCAAUUGUGCACACUUGUAAUCACAGCUAUGUGGGAGGCUGACACAGGAAAAUAACAAAGUCUGGGCGGUCAUGGGUAAGUUAGCAAGACCCUGUAUCAAAAUAAAAUAAAAAGGGUUGAAAGUAUCAGUGGCAGAGUAUCUGCCUAGCAUACAUGUGGCCCCAGAUCCAGUCUCAGUAACAGUGAAAGAAGAAGAGGAAGUGGAGAGAGGAGGUGAGAGAGAAGGGGGAGGGGAAGAGAAAGGAUUGGGAGAAAGGAAGAGAGGGGCAAGGAAAAGGAAGAGGCCUUUCCUCUCAUUCUUAGGUUUUCAGUACCUUUCAUUGCUUUUCUACCUACUGUCUCUGUGUACAGCACUUAAGGAUGAUGACUUGCAAGGAGACUUGCUGAAUUUGAUAACUUAGUAUCAUCCCAAGACACUGUCUCUGUGCUUCUCCCAAGUCUAUGCACUACAAUCUAAAUGCAAGUUACUUUUGGUUUUUUGGUUCUCACGCAGUUUCCAGACAUAACUAUUUACCUACUCAAAGGCUGUUAGGAAGCCUCCCUGUAACUGUAAGUUUGAGCUGACCUUGAAAUCUAGAACUGAAAGGACAGGAUCUUGUCCAAACUCUUCCUAAAUUUUCAUAGUUCCUAUGUGUCUGUUAUAUAUACUGUGAAUCCAACCAGAAUUUUAUUAAAAUGACACAAACUGAAUUGCUUCCUACCAACGAAAAGAUAGUCCCCUCUGAGGACAUUAUAACAGUCACUGCUGAGUGUUUUGAUUUCUUAUAGCCUUUCCUCCAUCUUCAAAAUCCUAUAUGCAGCAGGAAUCCGAGGGCCCUUCAGUUGAAAAUAGGCAGGAAGAAGAUUAAUGCAGAAUGUAAUGUUUGUAAAGUUUGACAUACUGUCAAUUGUGUUUCCUCAGAUAAAGAACAUAAUUGAUUUUUCCACACCUUGUGUGUUUCAUAUGGCUUUAGCAUGAAGUGGAAAAAAUAAUUGGAGACUCAGUGAAGGAAUAUGCUAACAUCACAGUCUGAUAUACUCAAGAAAUAUUUUGUGUUUGAAUAAUUAAAUUCAUUAUUUCCUAUAGGAAUAUAUUACAGAAUUGUAUUUAGAUAUAAUUCUGGGGGUGGGAGUUAUAAAAAUGCUUGAACUGGGGUUGAUGGUUACCUAUAAACAGAUGAAACAUGGAUUCAAACUAAACCAAACACAGAGGACUGUCUGGGCAGGGCCAGAAUAAUCACUUCCCAAGGGAAAACUCUAUUAUAAGUCAACUUACAGGGAAGAAUCUGGAAGAAAAUAAAAUUUUAUCAUAGAAAAUUAGUUGUGUGACUGGAGUGAUUCAUGGUAUGCAAAUUUGCCAAGUGACAGUUCCAUCACCCAACAAGGGCAGCACACAUUUAAAAAUAAUAGAAACUGUUAUCUGAGAUAAAAGACAGGGUAUAUCUGAAUAUAUUUGAUUAAUGAGUACUCCAAAGUGUGUGUUAAAAAUAGAAUGUUUAUGGGCAAGUCUGGAAUGAAAUUAAUAAAAAUAAAACUAAUUUACUGUUUACAUAUUACUUUGUGACAACACAAUAGUUAUAUGGACCUCAGCAAACCUGUAGAGAUAUUUAGAGUACAAGCUGAAUAGUGUAUGUAUACCUUUCAUAUAGAUUAGCAGUCAUUCUUCAGAACAGCUGUAACUGGAAUACCACACUAAUUCACAUGAUUGUUGAAAAAUGAGAACUGCCUCAGAGAUAGAGAUGCUGUGAGAAGAGGGAAAAAAGUAGUACUCUUGCUAUAAAAGAGUUGAGCAGAUGCUGUGGAAAUGCAAGCAUUUAUUUUCAAAAGAGCAAUUUCUUCUCACAUGGGGUACUCUGCAUGGUAUAUUAUAUGAGAGUGCUGCAGCUGAGAUUUUUAAAAAGUUCUCAUCAGUAUUGGUUCUUCAAACAAUGAGAAGCCCAAUAGUGCCCUCGACUUUGUAUUCAUGCUUCAAGAGGAGCCUUCUAGGGGCUGGGGAUUUAGCUCAGCGGCAUAAGUGCCUGCCUUGCAAGCAGGUAGUCAU